CGGACCGUGCAGCCAUUAAUAAUUAUGGACUUUGAACUUUUGGUCACUCAUAAAAAUUAAUGGUGGACCUGGCCGGCUAGCUCUGGCAUGCAAUAAAGGUUCACGUUUCAUCAGCUAUAUUUAUAUCCUAGGCUGAUGUAAUCUUUUUGGUACAAACGUGCAUAUAAACAGGUUGUUUUGUCGCUAUAAUCAUUCUUUUAUUAUAUCAACAGGUUCAUCAUGGCAGCCAGUGCAGUCCUCCCGUCCCCCUCUGGCCAGUACCCUGUUGGCUGUGCUCACCUUAUGCACAAAUUUGAGGAUGAUGCGGACACCCUGUUAGUGCGACUGUUUUACCCCUGUCAAGAGGGAGGAGGGGGACGUCCGUACACACAGUGGGUCCCUCAUGAGAGAUAUGUCAAGGGAUACAACGAAUACUGGAAGUUUAUGUUGCCAGAGAGCGGAAUAUCUACUGAGCCACAGAUCCCUGCACUGUAUGGAGCACCAUUGCAAGCUGAGGCUAGUACCGCUACGAGUCAGUCAGCAGUGCUAGUGUAUUCCCAUGGGCUUGGUGCAAUGAGCAUGACCUACUCUGCCAUUUGUUGUGACCUUGCCUCUCACGGCUAUGUGGUCGCCUCAGUGGAACACAGAGAUUGCUCAGCAUGUGUGUCUCAUCUGCGAGUGCCCGCGUCAGGUGGUGGUGGGCUCACGGAUGAGUGGUUGGAACACCACACCCUGAAGGAGGGGGAAGAGCAAUACCCGUUCAGAAACAAGCAGGUAAAAAAACGGUCUAGUGAUGCAAGAAGAGCCUUGGACUUGUUGCGACUGCUCAACGAGGGAGCACCGGUGGGGAACUUGUUAGAGGUGGACCUCGACUUUGGUCAGUUCAAAGGUCGUCUUGAUUUGAACAUGGCUGGUAUGAUGGGUCACUCAUUCGGGGGAGCCACUGUCAUCCAGACACUCAGCGAGGACCAACGAUUCAAGUGUGGUGUUUGCCUAGACGUCUGGAUGCUCUCAGUGCACAAAAAUCAUGAGAAUGGGUUCACGAUUCAACAGCCCCUCAUAUUUAUAAAUAGCUCUGACUUUCAUUGGAAAGAAAACAUAGAACAAAUGACAAAGAUGACCAAACCUUCUAAUGAGCAAGGGCUCUCCGUAGCCAGGAUGAUAACACUGAUGGGUACCAAUCAUUACUACCAGAGUGACGUGUUGUUCACAUUUCCAUCUCGAGCAGACAAAUCGUUUACAAGCACUCUGGAUGUGGUCACUGCUCACAGAGUCAACAUGGACGUCAGCCAUGCAUUCUUGAAGAGGCAUCUACUCAUGGCUCUAAAACAGCCGUGGGAACAUAUAACUUUAUUGGAAAGUCUCUUUUUACUGGGUGUGGUCAGUCAUUAGCAAGUACUACACGAGGCUCAUGGACUAGGCGUGUUAUAAAUUGCUGAAAGAGAUGAUGUCUCGAGGAAACACAGCUUUGGGAGUUACCCGGCAAAAAUGUGCUUAAUAGCCUUGUUCAUAGGGCGUAACGUGGAUAGUUUUCAAGGCUCCACUGCAGAUUCAAUGUAAAAUCAUCACGUGCACCACUCCGUUUCCUAUCCCUUUAACUCUUCAAUCUAUGGUUCAACCAACUAAUAUUCGAGCUACCAGGGUCCAAUUCCCAAUCUUGACGGGUGUGAGGGUCAUUCUGAGCAUGUCAUGUUCGGUUCCAAUGUUGCCAUCACCCCGUCCGAGCAGUCGACAUGUGACUGAUUGUUAUCAUACGAUCAUGUAUGUACAUGGAACUAAAUAUAUUCAGUCAUUUUAUUCUGUGCAUGUAUAUGCAUGCUAUAGGUCCUGAUAAAUAAUUAUUAUGCUCAGAAUAAUUUUAGCAUAAUAGGUGUCUACUG